CUCUUUCUGUUUAUUUAGUAAGUAUAACCUGCCCACUGAGUAUUUUAAAGGGCCGCGGUAAUUUGACCGUGCAAAGGUAGCAUAAUCAUUAGUCUCUUAAUUAGGGGCUGGAAUGAAUGGUUGGACGAGAUAUAAACUGUCUUUUAACUUAAUUUAGAAUUUAAUUAUUAAGUGAAAAAGCUUAAAUUUAUUUAUGGGACGAGAAGACCCUAUAGAGUUUAAUUAAUAAAUAUGUAUAUUUUGUUUGAUAAGUUUAGUAUAUAUUUAUUAAUUUUGUUGGGGUGAUGAGGAGAAAAAAUUAACUCUCUUUUUUGUUUAAUAUUGAUUUAUAGGUGUUUGAUCCAAUAUUAUUGAUUAUAAGACUAAAUUACCUUAGGGAUAACAGCGUAAUCUUUUUUGAGAGUUCAUAUCGACAUAAGGGAUUGCGACCUCGAUGUUGGAUUAAGGUAAACAUUAGGUGUAGAAGCUUAAUAUGUUAGGUCUGUUCGACCUUUAAAAUCUUACA
rnacentral:rRNA from 1 species